rnacentral:rRNA from 1 species
CCUACGGGGGGCUGCAGUGGGGAAUAUUGGACAAUGGGCGAAAGCCUGAUCCAGCCAUGCCGCGUGUGUGAAGAAGGUCUUCGGAUUGUAAAGCACUUUAAGUUGGGAGGAAGGGCAGUAAAUUAAUACUUUGCUGUUUUGACGUUACCGACAGAAUAAGCACCGGCUAACUCUGCGCCAGCAGCCGCGGUAAUACAGAGGGUGCAAGCGUUAAUCGGAAUUACUGGGCGUAAAGCGCGCGUAGGUGGUUCGUUAAGUUGGAUGUGAAAUCCCCGGGCUCAACCUGGGAACUGCAUUCAAAACUGACGAGCUAGAGUAUGGUAGAGGGUGGUGGAAUUUCCUGUGUAGCGGUGAAAUGCGUAGAUAUAGGAAGGAACACCAGUUGCGAAGGCGGCUCUCUGGACUGUAACUGACGCUGAGGCACGAAAGCGUGGGGAGCGAACAGGAUUAGAUACCCCUGUAGUC